CGGACGGGUGAGUAAUGUCUGGGAAACUGCCUGAUGGAGGGGGAUAACUACUGGAAACGGUAGCUAAUACCGCAUAACGUCGCAGGACCAAAGAGGGGGACCUUAGGGCCUCUUGCCAUCGGAUGUGCCCAGAUGGGAUUAGCUAGUAGGUGGGGUAACGGCUCACCUAGGCGACGAUCCCUAGCUGGUCUGAGAGGAUGACCAGCCACACUGGAACUGAGACGCGGCCCAG
rnacentral:rRNA from 1 species